rnacentral:rRNA from 1 species
CGGCCCAGACUCCUACGGGAGGCAGCAGUGGGGAAUAUUGCACAAUGGGCGCAAGCCUGAUGCAGCCAUGCCGCGUGAAUGAUGAAGGCCUUAGGGUUGUAAAAUUCUUUCGCUAGGGAUGAUAAUGACAGUACCUAGUAAAGAAGCCCCGGCUAACUUCGUGCCAGCAGCCGCGGUAAUACGAAGGGGGUUAGCGUUGUUCGGAAUUACUGGGCGUAAAGCGCACGCAGGCGGUUUGUUAAGCUAGAUGUGAAAGCCCCGGGCUCAACCUGGGAUGGUCAUUUAGAACUGGCAGACUAGAGUCUUGGAGAGGGGAGUGGAAUUCCAGGUGUAGCGGUGAAAUGCGUAGAUAUCUGGAGGAACAUCAGUGGCGAAGGCGACUCCCUGGCCAAAGACUGACGCUCAUGUGCGAAAGUGUGGGUAGCGAACAGGAUUAGAUACCCUGGUAGUCCACACCGUAAACGCUGUCUACUAGCUGUGUGUGCCUUUAAGGCGUGCGUAGCGAAGCUAACGCGCUAAGUAGACCGCCUGGGGAGUACGGCCGCAAGGUUAAAACUCAAAUGAAUUGACGGGGGCCCGCACAAGCGGUGGAGCAUGUGGUUUAAUUCGAUGCAACGCGAAGAACCUUACCUACACUUGACAUGCAGAGAACUUUCCAGAGAUGGAUUGGUGCCUUCGGGAACUCUGACACAGGUGCUGCAUGGCUGUCGUCAGCUCGUGUCGUGAGAUGUUCGGUUAAGUCCGGCAACGAGCGCAACCCACAUCCUUAGUUGCCAGCAGUUCGGCUGGGCACUCUAGGGAAACUGCCCGUGAUAAGCGGGAGGAAGGUGUGGAUGACGUCAAGUCCUCAUGGCCCUUACGGGUUGGGCUACACACGUGCUACAAUGGCAGUGACAAUGAG